GAAAUUAUGUAGAGGAUAAUGAACAAUCAAGAUAGGAUUUGUCCCUCUCUAUGAGAGAGAUAUCUUCUGGGCCCCUCGAUAAGUGAGACUGAAAAAAUGCAUGGCCGUGCUCAAAUGAAUUGAUAGUGUGAUCAAUAUCAUUUGAAUUUAUCAGUCUACUUAGAGAUCGAGAAAUCAUAAAUUUGAACAUUAUAAGUUUGACAUUGACCAUGACUUAUGUUCAAACUAGAUAUCGUGUGACAAAGGGAUUAAUUCAUGUUCUAUU
rnacentral:lncRNA from 1 species